UAAGGAAUAUUGGUCAAUGGACGCAAGUCUGAACCAGCCAUGCCGCGUGAAGGAUGAAGGUCCUCUGGAUUGUAAACUUCUUUUAUUUGGGACGAAACGCCUGUUUUCUAACGGGUCUGACGGUACCAGAUGAAUAAGCACCGGCUAACUCCGUGCCAGCAGCCGCGGUAAUACGGAGGGUGCAAGCGUUAUCCGGAUUCACUGGGUUUAAAGGGUGCGUAGGCGGGUGUGAAAGUCAGUGGUGAAAUCUCAGAGCUUAACUCUGAAACUGCCAUUGAUACUUUGCAUCUUGAAUUUUCUGGAGGUUAGCGGAAUAUGUCAUGUAGCGGUGAAAUGCUUAGAUAUGACAUAGAACACCGAUUGCGAAGGCAGCUGACUACGGAUGAAUUGACGCUGAGGCACGAAAGCGUGGGGAUCAAACAG
rnacentral:rRNA from 1 species